AUGGGGAUAAUCAAUAUCGGUGGUCAAUGGGAUGAAACCAUUUGCAAUAUGAUCGCUUGUCAGCAUCCACCCUGCUGGGAGUCUAUGCGGAGAAUCGAAAGUGGGCAUCCUCACAUUUUGCUGAAGAACGUAGCCAUACCUGGAAGAAAUUUCCCAGCAUCCGAAGACAAACUGCCAACUCUGAAGAUUGUUGACCUUCCCCUCCAUUAUCCUCGGAGAGAACGAGUUAAAUGUGGGGGAGGUUUUGAUUCAAGCUCUAAGACAAUUUCCAGUAGCAAAGAAUCUAGAAAUUGCUUUUCAAAUUCUAUUCUGAAUGAUGGUUGGAUACCCCCCAUUUCGGUAUUGAGUUCAGAAAGGAAUCCUUUCCCAGGUCUGAACUCCAGAAUGGAAUCUCAGUGUCUCCAUUUCCCACCAAUAAAUUUCCCCUGCUCGAGGCAACCUGAGAAGAUGCAGGUGACAGACCCCUCCGUGUUUGUGGUGCACAGACUUUUCCAGCCAGCCUGUGGAAGCACGGUUUUCCGGUGGGUUCCAGACAAGCGACCCAGAUUCCUGCAGUCUCAGAAUCCUAAUGGGAGAAUAAAGAUGCCCCCACAAAAAAUAUGUGUGAAGGAUCUUGCUUUGGAAAAUCUCCUCUCUCUCAAGGAUCAUCAAGGGACUAAAAGAAAAAAGUCAAAUAAAGUUCCUACAGGAGGUCAGCCCUACUUUCGUUAUCUAAAGCGGAAUCAAAAGGCUAACAAUAAAUCAAGUUCUGUAGGCCAACAAAGGAACACAGAUGACAGCCUGCCCAGGACAGGGCGACACCUGGUGCCCGCUCUGCCUCUGUUGCUACAAAAUGAAGGUGUGACUCAGGGGAGCAAGAGAGGAAGGGCGCUGCGGGAGGCCAAGGAGAAAUUGGCAGCCUCCUUUAUUGUGCAGAAAGCGCCCCGUUUUGACCGAUCUGAAGCUAAGAUCCCCAUGAAAGACAAAGAUUCAGGAAGAAGCCUAGGCCGCCAGCCCAAGAUCAUCGUCUCAGCAGGCUCGCUGAUCCUGAGGCACCUGAUGGCAGAGCAGCUGCGGGAUGCUGGUAACCAUCAAGACAAGAAAGGAGGGGGCCUCCUUGAGCACAGCCAGAUGUCCCCAGAAUCUGCUGCGAUCCCUUUGCUUCCUGCCUGCCGAAAGCCGAGGUCAGGUGCAGGCAGUAUUACGAUCGCCUGGCAAGCUGGAAGGAGGCCACCCCGGCUGAGAGGGAUGCUUCAGACUUCAGCAGGGAGGCUUGGCCCGAAGAAGACUCCCAGGAAGCACCCAAGACUUUUGCUCCGCUGCAGCCCCUGGGGCCACCUCCCCCUCCCCCCUCCC
rnacentral:lncRNA from 1 species